rnacentral:ncRNA from 2 species
ACAAAUCAAAUAACGCUUGAGAGUAUAAUAGUUGGAGAAUGGCCAACGAGUAUCUACCUUUGUCCCUAGACGAAGACUACUCCCUUAAACGAAAACACC